GGGGGUUUAGCUCAGUGGUAGAGCGCUUGCCUUGCAAGCACAAGGCCCUGGGUUCGGUCCUCAGCUCCG
rnacentral:tRNA from 1 species